GCCAGCAUGGCAUAGUGGUUUGAGUGUUGGACUGCAACGCUGGAGGUCAGGGUUCAAUUCCCAGCUCUGAGG
rnacentral:tRNA from 1 species